UAAGCAUUUAGAACAUUCAUA
rnacentral:miRNA from 1 species